GGCUCAGGGCCUUGCUUACAUCCAUCAAGCGUCAAAGCUCACUCAUGGCAACUUGAAAUCCUCCAACGUCCUUCUAGGGUCUGAUUUUGAGGCCUGUCUAACAGACUACUCCAUCAUUGCGCUUGCAGAUAUUUCUUCUGAGGAUGAUCCUGAUUCAGCACGCUAUAAAGCACCAGAAGUGCGCAAAUCAGCACGAAGAGCCACACCAGGGUCUGACGUAUAUGCCUAUGGUAUUCUGUUAUUAGAGCUUUUAACGGGUAAACCUCCAUCUCAGCAUCCACAUCUCUCUCCCCCUGAUGUGCCGGAUUGGGUUAGAGCUAUGAG
rnacentral:misc_RNA from 1 species